GCGGUAAUAGCUCAGUUGGUAGAGCACUAGCUUCCCAAGCUGGGGGUCGCGAGUUCGAGCCUCGUUUACCGCUCCG
rnacentral:tRNA from 1 species